rnacentral:rRNA from 1 species
GAUGAACGCUGGCGGCGUGCCUAAUACAUGCAAGUCGAGCGAACAGACGAGGAGCUUGCUCCUCUGACGUUAGCGGCGGACGGGUGAGUAACACGUGGAUAACCUACCUAUAAGACUGGGAUAACUUCGGGAAACCGGAGCUAAUACCGGAUAAUAUAUUUAACCGCAUGGUUCAAUAGUGAAAGACGGUUUUGCUGUCACUUAUAGAUGGAUCCGCGCCGCAUUAGCUAGUUGGUAAGGUAACGGCUUACCAAGGCAACGAUGCGUAGCCGACCUGAGAGGGUGAUCGGCCACACUGGAACUGAGACACGGUCCAGACUCCUACGGGAGGCAGCAGUAGGGAAUCUUCCGCAAUGGGCGAAAGCCUGACGGAGCAACGCCGCGUGAGUGAUGAAGGUCUUCGGAUCGUAAAACUCUGUUAUUAGGGAAGAACCAAUGUGUAAGUAACUAUGCACGUCUUGACGGUACCUAAUCAGAAAGCCACGGCUAACUACGUG